AAAUUUUUGUGCUAAAAUUCAUAAUCAGUUUGGUGUUUCAAUAAAAGUUUUAUGCAGUGACAAUGCCACUGAAUAUCUCUCCUUUCUUUACUCAUUUCUUGUCUUCUCAAGGCAUUUCUCAUCAAACUUCCUAUGCUUAUACUCCUCAACAAGAUGGGGUCGCCGAGUGGAAAAAUAGGCAUCUCAUUGAAACUGCUUGAACCUUACUCAUACACCAUAAU
rnacentral:misc_RNA from 1 species